rnacentral:rRNA from 1 species
CCUACGGGGGGCAGCAGUGGGGAAUAUUGCACAAUGGGCGCAAGCCUGAUGCAGCCAUGCCGCGUGUGUGAAGAAGGCCUUCGGGUUGUAAAGCACUUUCAGCGGGGAGGAAGGCGUUAAGGUUAAUAACCUUGUCGAUUGACGUUACCCGCAGAAGAAGCACCGGCUAACUCCGUGCCAGCAGCCGCGGUAAUACGGAGGGUGCAAGCGUUAAUCGGAAUUACUGGGCGUAAAGCGCACGCAGGCGGUCUGUCAAGUCGGAUGUGAAAUCCCCGGGCUCAACCUGGGAACUGCAUUCGAAACUGGCAGGCGAGAGUCUUGUAGAGGGGGGUAGAAGUCCAGGUGUAGCGGUGAAAUGCGUAGAGAUCUGGAGGAAUACCGGUGGCGAAGGCGGCCCCCUGGACAAAGACUGACGCUCAGGUGCGAAAGCGUGGGGAGCAAACAGGAUUAGAUACCCGAGUAGUC